rnacentral:rRNA from 1 species
GUAACACGUGGGAAUUUACCAAAAAGUGGGGAAUAGCUCGGGAAAGCCGAAUUAAUACCGCAUGUGAUCGAAAGAUCAAAGUCGGGGACCGCAAGGCUGACGCUUUUUGAGAAGCCCGGGCCAUCAGCUAGUUGGCGGGGUAAAAGCCCACCAAGGCUAUGACGGGUAGCUGGUCUGAGAGGACGACCAGCCACACUGGAACUGAGACACGGUCCAGACACCUACGGGUGGCAGCAGUCGAGAAUUUUUCACAAUGGACGAAAGUCUGAUGGAGCGACGCCGCGUGGAGGAUGAAGGUUCUUGGAUUGUAAACUCCUGUCACUGCAGAACAAGGCAGUGCGUAUGAAUAGUGCGCACUGUUGAUGGUAUGCGGAGAGGAAGGGACGGCUAACUCUGUGCCAGCAGCCGCGGUAAGACAGAGGUCCCGAGCGUUGUUCGGAUUCAUUGGGCGUAAAGGGUGUGUAGGAGGUCGGGUAAGUCAGGUGUGAAAUCUCACAGCUUAACUGUGAAACUGGGGCUUGAUACUGCUCGGGUUAGAGGAUCGGAGGG